rnacentral:rRNA from 1 species
UGGGGAAUAUUGCACAAUGGGGGAAACCCUGAUGCAGCGACGCCGCGUGGGUGAAGAAGUAUUUCGGUAUGUAAAGCCCUAUCAGCAGGGAAGAAAAUGACGGUACCUGACUAAGAAGCCCCGGCUAACUACGUGCCAGCAGCCGCGGUAAUACGUAGGGGGCAAGCGUUAUCCGGAUUUACUGGGUGUAAAGGGAGCGUAGGUGGCGUGCCAAGUCAGGAGUGAAAACCCAGGGCCCAACCCUGGGACUGCUCUUGAAACUGGCAGGCUUGAGUGCUGGAGAGGUAAGCGGAAUUCCUAGUGUAGCGGUGAAAUGCGUAGAUAUUAGGAGGAACACCAGUGGCGAAGGCGGCUUACUGGACAGUGACUGACACUGAGGCUCGAAAGCGUGGGGAGCAAACAGG